rnacentral:rRNA from 1 species
UACGGAGGAUGCGAGCGUUAUCCGGAUUUAUUGGGUUUAAAGGGUGCGUAGGCGGGAAAGCAAGUCAGAUGUGAAAACCAUGGGCUCAACCUGUGGCCUGCAUUUGAAACUGUUUUUCUUGAGUACUGGAGAGGCAGACGGAAUUCCUAGUGUAGCGGUGAAAUGCGUAGAUAUUAGGAGGAACACCAGUGGCGAAGGCGGUCUGCUGGACAGCAACUGACGCUGAGGCGCGAAAGCGUGGGGAGCAAACAGG